UGAAAAUGUUAUCCAAUGAGC
rnacentral:miRNA from 1 species